rnacentral:rRNA from 1 species
UACGGAGGGUGCGAGCGUUGUCCGGAAUCACUGGGCGUAAAGGGCGCGUAGGCGGCGCGGAUAGUCGGCGGUGAAAGCCCGGAGCUCAACUCCGGGUCGGCCGUCGAUACUUCCGGGCUUGAGCACUGUAGAGGCAGAUGGAAUUCCGGGUGUAGCGGUGGAAUGCGUAGAGAUCCGGAAGAACACCGGUGGUGUAGACGGCUCUCUGGACCGUAACUGACGCUGAGACACGAAAGCGUGGGUAGCAAACAGG